rnacentral:rRNA from 1 species
AACGCGAAGAACCUUACCUGCUCUUGACAUGCCAGGAAGAUUUCAGAGAUGAGAUUGUGCCUUCGGGAACCUGGGCACAGGUGCUGCAUGGCUGUCGUCAGCUCGUGUCGUGAGAUGUUGUCUUAAGUGACGCAACGAGCGCAACCCUUACUACUAGUUGCCCCAAUUAAGUUUGGCACUCUAGUGGGACUGCCGGUGCUAAGCCGGAGGAAGGUGGGGAUGACGUCAAGUCCUCAUGGCCCUUAUGAGCAGGGCUUCACACGUCAUACAAUGGUAGGUACAGACGGUUGCCAACCCGCGAGGGGGAGCUAAUCCGAGAAAGCCUAUCGUAGUCCGGAUUGUAGUCUGCAACUCGACUACAUGAAGUCGGAAUCGCUAGUAAUCGCAGAUCAGCAUGUUGCGGUGAAUACGUUCCCGGGCCUUGUACACACCGACUGUAC